GCAGUGGUGGUUCAGUAGUAGAAUUCUUGUCUUCCAUGCAGGAGAUCAGGGUACAAUUCACUGUCAAUGUA
rnacentral:tRNA from 1 species